GGAUAACCUACCCUUAGGACCGGGAUAACCCUGGGAAACUGGGGAUAAUACUGGAUAGGCAAUUUUUCCUGUAAUGGUUUUUUGUUUAAAUGUUUUUUCGCCUAAGGAUGGGUCUGCGGCCGAUUAGGUAGUUGGUUAGGUAAUGGCUUACCAAGCCGUUGAUCGGUACGGGUUGUGAGAGCAAGAGCCCGGAGAUGGAACCUGAGACAAGGUUCCAGGCCCUACGGGGUGCAGCAGGCGCGAAACCUCCGCAAUGUGAGAAAUCGCGACGGGGGGAUCCCAAGUGCCAUUCUUAACGGGAUGGCUUUUCAUUAGUGUAAAGAGCUUUUGGAAUAAGGGCUGGGCAAGACCGGUGCCAGCCGCCGCGGUAACACCGGCAGCUCUAGUGGUAGCAGUUUUUAUUGGGCCUAAAGCGUCCGUAGCCGGUUUAAUAAGUCUCUGGUGAAAUCCUGUAGCUUAACUGUGGGAAUUGCUGGAGAUACUAUUAGACUUGAGACCGGGAGAGGUUAGAGGUACUCCCAGGGUAGAGGUGAAAUUCUGUAAUCCUGGGAGGACCGCCUGUUGCGAAGGCGUCUAACUGGAACGGUUCUGACGGUGAGGGACGAAAGUUAGGGGCGCGAACCGGAUUAGAUACCCGGGUAGUCCUAACUGUAAACGAUGCGGACUUGGUGUUGGGGUGGCUUUGAGCUGCUCCAGUGCCGAAGGGAAGCUGUUAAGUCCGCCGCCUGGGAAGUACGGUCGCAAGACUGAAACUUAA
rnacentral:rRNA from 1 species